GGAAGGGGGUCCUUCCACCUCUCCCCCUCCCAUACAAAAUUAUAACAUAAAAUAUACAAAAGCCUGACAUUUUAAAGGUUUUUAUUUUUGCCUGCCUGACGGAGGACAUUAGGCUAAAAAGGAGGACAUGUCCUCCUUUUGCCUGACAUCUGGCAACCCUACCUUUGAUGGUGGCUGCAAGAGACCUCAUGGUGGUCAUUACAUGCCCAAUUAUUAUGUGCACAACUAGCUUUGGGAGAGAAGUUAAAUGGAAGGAGGAGUAGUACGAAUUCCUCUCUGAAAGACUGAAUAUACCUCUAGUCAUGAAAUGUGAGCCUGGACAAUGGAGCAGGAGACUGGAAUCUGCAAGUAAACCUUAGGCUGUCCUCGGAAAAGAAAACAUGCUGAUUGUUCAGGUUUCCAAAUCUGGGGUGUGGGCUCUGGCUUGCCUCUUAUGUGUCUCCUUUCAUUUCUGACUAUAACCAGAAACAUCUCCACUCCAUAUGAGAGCAUUUUUCUCUGGGAAGCUAGUUCUUCCCCUUCCAGUUGCUAUGGCAACCAUGAGAAGGUCAAUUAGAGAACGUUGUGUAUCUAGGGAUUAGCUGUCAGAUUUUAGCAUUCUGACCUGAUAGAUAAACAGUUUCCCCUCAUUUUUUACAAGUUCACUGUCCUAGUAACUGACUGCACGCAAUAAGAAAAAAGAAAAAAGCUUUAUGUCAUACAACUUCCUUCAGAAGUGUUUGUAUUAUUCAGAUUACCCUCUCCCAAAUUUCAAAAUGUACAACUAAGCUUUUAUGAGGAGAAAAAAAUCCACACUGUCUGUAUGCCAAUUUAAUACUGAAAGCAAAUAUACAAAGACAGGAAAGGAUGCCUAUCUCUUUUUCGAAGGCGACUCCUCCCUGGACACAUCAGCUGGCUGUCCCUCAGGCCUCACUUCAAAAUGCAGUCGACUUCUGGACUGAAUACAAGCCAACGUCAGUCCCUGACUGAGGUAUUCCAGUGAUGAAAAUAAGAUAGCUCAACCAGGUAUGGAAUACUGGCA
rnacentral:lncRNA from 1 species